GAAUGGAAGGUGAAGAAGCAGAAUGAAGACGGUGUUCAGGCUUGCAUAAAAUUAUCACUGUCAGCUGCAUUUACAUGUAGUAGCAAUCAGAUCCAUUGGGCCCUUUGUGGCCUUUUAUUGGUAUCGUUGUUGAAGCCCUUGUUCUUUUGUUAAUCAUCUUCAUUGCUGAAAAGAGAAAGAAGGUCAAAGAAAAAGGUUUGAAACAGUAAUGAACAUGAUUCAAUAGGUCCUCUUUAUGCAUUUCAUUUCCAUUUUUUAUACAGAAUAUACAAGUCAUGUAGUUGUAUUAGAAAACGUAGUUA